rnacentral:rRNA from 1 species
AGGGAUCAUUACUGAGUUUACGCUCUACAACCCUUUGUGAACAUACCUAUAACUGUUGCUUCGGCGGGUAGGGUCUCCGCGACCCUCCCGGCCUCCCGCCCCCGGGCGGGUCGGCGCCCGCCGGAGGAUAACCAAACUCUGAUUUAACGACGUUUCUUCUGAGUGGUACAAGCAAAUAAUCAAAACUUUUAACAACGGAUCUCUUGGUUCUGGCAUCGAUGAAGAACGCAGCGAAAUGCGAUAAGUAAUGUGAAUUGCAGAAUUCAGUGAAUCAUCGAAUCUUUGAACGCACAUUGCGCCCGCCAGCAUUCUGGCGGGCAUGCCUGUUCGAGCGUCAUUUCAACCCUCAAGCUCUGCUUGGUGUUGGGGCCCUACAGCUGAUGUAGGCCCUCAAAGGUAGUGGCGGACCCUCCCGGAGCCUCCUUUGCGUAGUAACUUUACGUCUCGCACUGGGAUCCGGAGGGACUCUUGCCGUAAAACCCCCAAUUUUCCAAAGGUUGACCUCGGAUCAGGUAGGAAUACCCGCUGAAC